UCCCCCAUCUAUCAGUAAUUGAGGAAGUGC
rnacentral:piRNA from 1 species